AGCACUCCUCGUGGCUAAUGAUGGUUGGGAUUAACAGCAGGCCUACUCUAGCUGAGCGAAGCACUUGGGAUGAGCUAUUUACAGCUUCAAGAAAUCAGUAGAGUUCAGCAGGACUUCACAGCCAGUGUGGACUUAACAGAUAUAUAUAUAUAUUUUUUAUAAAGUAUCUUAUAUAAAAUAUAAUUGUGUAUCAACAGUAUAAAAGUGAAAGCCAAAAUUAUGUUUGCACAUUUAAUGUCCAAGUAUAAUUAUUUUUAAAAUUCUAAUUUAUUUAUUUAUUUAUCAAUUAUUGUUGAGUUGGCAGUGUGUUUUGGAUCAUUUUCUUUCUGCAUGAUGAAGUUCCUCCCGGUUAAUUUGGAUGCAUUUCUCUGUAAAUUGGCACACAAAAUGUUCCUGAAAACUUUUGAAUUCAUUCUGCUGUUACCAUCAUGAGUUAUAUCAUCAAUAAAGAUUAGUGAGCCCAUUCCAGAAGCAGCCAUGCAAGCCCAAGCCAUGACACUACCUCCACCAUGUUUUACAGAUUGUAUGGUUGCAUGUUUUGGAUGAUGAGCAGAUCCUUUCUUUCUCCAUAUUUUGAAUUUCCAUCACUUUGGUAGAGGUUAAUUUUGGUUCCACAGCUUUUGUGGCUCAUCUCUGUAUUUCCUUUUGAACUCCAAGUCUUCUUCGAAUGGUGGAUUGUGAUACCUUCAUCCCUCCCCUGUGGAGGUUAUUGGCGAUGUACUGACUGUUAGUUUUAGGUUUUCCUUCACAGCUCUCAAAAUGUUUCUGCAACAAGCUGUUGUUGUUUUCCUUGGCUGACCCAUUCGGUGUCUGUUGCUCAGUACAUCAGUGGUUUCUUUCUUUUUCAGGACAUUCCAAAUUGUUGUAGUGGUUAUGUUCACUGUUUGUGCAAUGCCUCUGAUUGAUUUUUCCUCAUGUCUUCAGUCUACAGCAAAAGCAAAUGAAUUGGCAUUGCCAUUCCAAUAGUUUCAGAGGGGAGUAUAUAAUAUCAGUUGUGCUGAUAUUUCCAGAUUUGCCUUGAGGAGAAAAGGGAUCCCUGGGCGCCUCAGAAGAAAGGAACAGCUUGACUCAUAUGGUUUUUGUAUUUGUUCAGAUUUGUGUCAUGAAAUAGCAAUCAUACGAAGAGAUUACUGCAAUAACCAUUUGUGGUUUUUCGGAUGUUGAUCUACCACUACCUAGAAUCACUCAAUUCUGACCACAGAC
ensembl:lncRNA